UGCUCUAGUGGCCUAGUGGUUAGAUCAUCUGCCUCAGAUGUGGAAGGUUGCAGGUUCAAACCCUGACCAAGUCAU